rnacentral:rRNA from 1 species
GACUCUCGACAACGGAUAUCUCGGCUCUCGCAUCGAUGAAGAACGUAGUGAAAUGCGAUACUUGGUGUGAAUUGCAGAAUCCCGUGAACCAUCGAGUCUUUGAACGCAAGUUGCGCCCGAAGCCAUCCGGCUGAGGGCACGUCUGCCUGGGCGUC